rnacentral:rRNA from 1 species
GGGUUAGUAGGUUGGUCAUGCCUCUGGUAUGUACUGGUCUCACUGAUUCCUCCUUCCUGAUGAACCUUAAUGCCAUUAACUUGGUGUUUUGGGGAAUUUGGACUGUUACUUUGAAAAAAUUAGAGUGUUUAAAGCAGGCCAAUUGCUUGAAUACAUUAGCAUGGAAUAACGGAAUAGGACGUUUGAUUCUAUUUUGUUGGUUUCUAGGAUCGACGUA